AUACAAUGAGCUACGUACAACGAAGCGCAAAGUUGAACUUAGAUAUAGAAUUUCAAAUUCCAUAACCUCUUCAAGGGUCUCAUUUGCUUAUAACGUAUGGACAAUCAUAGGUAUACUCAAAGGUAACACAUUCAAGGUGUAGUUCGACUAGUAGACCAAAAUACCGUCAGAACAAUGCUUCAACUUCAAGUCAAGGCAUAAACGAGUUUUCCCAAUAUCCUUCAUCUCAAAUUCCAUCUUCAGGUGCGAGACAGUUUUCUCAAGCUCUUCCAGAGUCUUAGUGAGAUUCGUGUUAACGACAUAAACUGUAACUCUAGCAAUUUGGAAUAAGACUUCAUAGUUUAACACGCAAGGGCAUAAUUCAUAUCCCUGACUGAUCAAAUAAUCACGUAGACGGGUAUACCACAUCCGUCAGAUUUUUCAAUCCAUAAGUGAACGCCUCAAAACGAGUUAAGAGGGUGUUCCGUGGUUUUGGAACUAUUUGAAACAAUCCAUGAAAUUCUUCGAGAACUUACAUGUAAAUCUCCGUAUCUAUAUCCCUAAGGAGAAAACACUAACCACAUUUCAUAAUGCUACUAUCAAUCACAUGACGUUUUGAGAGAAACCUUGUGUCGUAAGGUGUGCAUCAUAUCACACUAUUUCAUUCAUCUCAUAACGCUUCCUUUCCCAAUUGGAACACAACAGGGUUACCUUGGGCAGUGUAGGAACGACAUGUCCAAUACACACUUUGGUAAGGAAUUUGACCUGGAUUGUAACUUCAGUUGUCCAAUCAAGUCUACGUUGUCACUUAAUCAACGGAACAAGAACUUCAAGUCUCGAUGAUAUCAUAACUUGACCUUGAUUGUAACUUGACCUGGUUCGAUAUCGUUGCUUUUCAUUUAUGUCGGUAGCUACCAUAUAAGUGAAAACAUCAUCUAUGAUAAUCUCAUUUCAAUUCCAUUUAGCUCAUCUAAACUAGUAUACUAGACCAAGAACUUCAAGUCUUGGAAGUAAUCUGGAUUAAUCCCAUGAGAUGGAAAUGAUUUGAGACAGCGAUCAAGUUUAGAUUCAUUGUUGUGCCGUAUCUUCCU
rnacentral:lncRNA from 1 species